GGAGCCCCGCAUUCUACAGUGUCCGAAAGAUUCGAAACUCCAAAAGCUCCACUGUGUGCUCCGGGAGGGGAGGGGGUGCGCCAGGAAAGGAGUGGAAAAAAGUGGGCGAGGAGGAGCGUUGAAACUUUCGUGACAAGUAGUUUCCGUGCGCCCGAGAGCGUGUGAAUUGCUCCUAAUUACCGUGUCCGCUUCUUUUAGACUCAGGACGCGCAUCGGUCUGUCCGACCUUCCCCGCAAGAGACAAAGUGACUGCUGGGAGGCCCCCGCGGACAGUUUUCAGUUUUAACUUUCGCCUUAUUCUUAUCCUGUCCUGAUGUCACGGCCCUGAGGAACAGCUCAUUCUGAAGAAGAGAGUAAAGAAAAUUCGUUUAAAUAAUGAGGAAAAUGAGCGUUCCUGGCAUUCUCCGUCCACUCUUGACCGUGCGUCUCCGCGUUACUCUUUCGAACCUCCAGGCCGGCGGGAAUCUGGGCGCGUAGAUUCGGCCGGGGCCGUCGCGGCCUCAGGACGCAGCCCUCCCGCCUGGCACGACUACUGGGCCGCGCCCUGUCAGUCUAUCCGCUUCUGAGCCCAGGGCUGGGGUUGGGGGAAAGAAGGUGCGACCAACGGGCCCCCACCCGAAGACCGCAGAACCUGGCGCCCCGGGAGAGCCUUGGAAGAAGCCCACCCGGAGGCUGAGGCUGGAGGGAAAAGGGGAUGGGGAUGAUGCGCUCGAGGACCGGGCGGAGAGCUUCCAGAAAGUUCACCAGGCCCCGGCGCGAGGGCGCUCUGACACGAACAAGGUCUAUGAUAGCGAUAAAAACCUGGUCACUAGCUCCCAGAAAAUGCCACUUGCUGGAGUCUGUGAAUGGGUUUAGGAGAGAGAAGGGUGUCAGCCCCCGCGAGGGUCUCCCGCGUGAAGCGAGGAUAAGGGGGUGCUUCAGGGAUAAUAUGUCCUCUAGGAGCGCAGGACCCAGACCCCACCUUCCAACACCUGGAGGUUCCGAGGCCAAGUACGUCUAGUAGCCCCGGCUGCACCUGGGGAGGAGAGCCAUGAGGUUGGGGGAAGAGCGCCGACCACCGCCGGAUUCCGCGCCGGGGCCGUCAGGUGCCUUCUCCCAGAGCUCCUUUGGACAAAGUUUUCGGGAAAUUAUAUUAAACCGAAAACGAAAUAAACUAUAUAAAUCUGCCUAGCUUUUCGGGGGGGCGGUGGCCCAGGUAUCCUUCGCGCUUGAGGCCAGGUCACCGUGAGAUUUCCCCACUCCGGACGGGGGAUUCCUCAGAAGCCAAGGGUGUAACCACGAGGACUCGGGAACCCGAGGCGGCCCCACAGAUGCGUGAGGAACUUCAUUUUCUAAGGAGUGGGAGGAGGAGCAUCCUGGCAUCUAAUACAGCCCAACCAGAGGGAAUCCGCCCACCCCUAGUGGAGGAACCUCUCUCUUCUCUCGCCCCUCUUUCCUGGCAUUCACAUCUCCACAGGUCUGGGACCCACAGCCUUUUCUCCCACUCCCCGGAGGUUAGGGUUUUCAUGUGAGUGAAUGUGUUAUGGAGGGAGGCAAAAUAAACCCCAGGUCAUCUCACCCACACUUUGACCAGGCAGGAAUCCUCUGCCCAGCUUCCCAGGCCACUCCAGGGCCAGUUCCUCCUGAUUUGAAUUGGGUCGGUCGAAGGGGAAAGGAAAGGCAUGGCCGAACUGAGCCGUCAGCACGAGAAGAGCACGCUCAGGUUGAGUCAGCAGGGUCUACCCGCUCCCCAGCCUGAGUGUAGCUUCACACUUGGACACACCCCCUCCCCCGUGCGUGUGACCACUCUCUGCAAAGUAUGGGACACACUGUCACGCCAGCAUUCAGAGAGCACCACGGGGCCCAGGCUCAACUCUGAUACUACCCUCCAACCCAAGGGGACCCCUUCAGUGAAUUUGACCUCAGUGUUCUCAUAAGCAUGUCCCCAUCCUGGGACAUCCACUCGAUGUGUGACGUUCCCAGACUCCCACAGAUUUCCACAUCGGUGACAGCACACGCCGACAGGAGCACAUCCUCACGCACGUAUGCCCUGGUUUAUGCGCGGAGCCCCAGCCUUACUUCUACAGUUGGGCCCCAGGCAGAAAAAGCCACAGCCUUCCAGGACAAAUGAGGCGGCUGAGAGCAGAGGGUCUUCCUCACACAUUCACACGCGUACUCUUAGCUCAGAAUCAUUUGCUGACGCCUCUGCUGUGCCAGGGGCUGGGGGUCCGGGUGAGAGGGCCCGGCCAAGAAAAUACACCCCAUCCCUAUUCGCCCCUGGCCCCAUCCCCCACGCCCACGCCCAGGCACUGGUGGCGUCCAAAGGGACUGCGCUGGGAUGAGGCCGGGGUUGAGGGCCUAGGGCGUAGAGCCGGCUGUAGGCGCGGCGUGGGGAAGGGCGCCGAGGGUGAGUAGUGUAACUCUGAGUAGAAGAGCCAGGGGCGCCGAUGGGGGACCCGGGAGGCACUGACUUUUGCGCUGUUUGCCCGCGGCCUCGGAGCAAGCAGACGCCAUCUGUUUGCCGGCUGCGACGCGUCCCGUUUAAUUACCCUCCCGGCAGCCUAAUAGAGAUGAUAUUAAACUAAAUCUUUCUGACAUUAAAAGUAAUUAUCCCCAAACCGGUGGCUCCGGGACGGAAUGGCCCCUCCCGCACCCACCCCUUCCCUGGCUGUGCCGGAUUCCGUUAGUUUGGCUGAUACUCUCCGCCCGGGAAUGGGGCGCAGAAGAAAGGGGGAACGUGCUUUUGGGAGAAGGAGUCUCCACGGGUUGCCUGACACGCGUUUUCCCGCAAACUACACUCUCCUGUUCCUAUGUGGACACAAGCACGUGUACACACAGACACGUAGCGAUAUUUUCCUCCAGAUCAACUCAUGAGUCACGCUGAUUAAGACCCUCAGCCGCGCACACCCUCUGUGAACAGGGAGACGCGCAGCUUGGUUUCCUGUCCCGUCCUCUGACACCGCUAAAAUGGUCAUUUUCCAUGGUCAUAGCCACGGAUCUAUGCCAGGACCGGGGACCGGGCAUAAUUUCGGAGCCAGAAAGAACUCCUAUGGUGGCGCCGGGUUUCUCAGGCGCUGUUCCAGCUAAGGGCCAGGCGCCCAGCAAUUUCUCUACAGUUGCUUACUGAAGUCGCACCACUCUCUGCGAGGCAGGUCCGAUUAUUCCACUUGUCAGGUGAGAGACUUGGAGCGGUGAGAUGACUUGUUCCACAUAUCACAAUUAGUGCGUAACAGAGCAAAAAUCAAACCCGGGAGUACCCUCAUCCAACGCCGGGUCAAGGCACCCCUCCACACCCGUUGGCCGAGAACCCUUUGGUGCUCAGCUUCUUCCCGGGCCCUGGACCUAAAGGCUGGGCCGAACAGCCAACUGAAGGUGGAGGAGAGAGGGCACUGGCUCUGAGUGAGCGGCAGGAGGCCCCGAGGCGGAGCCCCAGCGGCUGCAGCCCUCCUUUGGAUCAAGCCCUCGCGUCUGCGGGGCAGGCGAAAGGGAGGCGUCUGCCCAGUGUCGCCAGGCUCCUCAGGAUUUUCUGGUUGGGAGCAUCUAAGCCUGAGACAAACGCGUGGAGAGUGGUGUUCACCGCCCCACUAUUUGUUUCUAUUUGUGAGCGCCUACUGAGUACAGCCACUCUGCUAAACACUUGGUGUGUGCUGUCUUGCUUGCCACGCAGUCCAUGGGGGAAGAUGCGAUGGUCCACGUUUCAGACACAAGGUAGCCAAAGUUCAGCAAGGCGACACAACUUGCCUGGGGCCAGAGUGCUGCCGAACUUCGAAAAAGACAGAAAUCCAGAUCCAACUCCCACUCUCAGGUUUUUUUCUCCUCACCUUCCAUGGCGGGGGGGUGGGUAGGAUCAGACCUAGGAGCUUCCAUUUGGUUCGGUUUCAUUCAGUUCACUGAUCGUUCACAGAAACAUGAAAGUAAGAGUCAUUCAUUCAUUCAUUCAUUCAUUCAUUCGUUUAUGUAACAGCAUUUGUUGAGCAUCUAGUAUGUGCCAAGCUCUGUGGAUCCGAGACAAAUCAACCAUAAUGGGCCCUUACAGAACUUGUUAGCCAACUGGGGACACAGUCCCCUAUCAGUGACCUCACAGUGAGAAGUCUAAUCUUGGGAAUGGGGGAAGGAGGAUGAGGGGAAGCUUCCCGAAGAAAGGGACCUCUGAUGGUUAGGUUUCCCAAAGGGAAACACUGUUAUUGCUUGUUCUGAUAGAAUAAAAGUCUUAUAAAACAUUUUAGAAAAUUCAGCAAAAUAUAUUUGGUGAAUUUUGCUAUUUUUUUCCCUGUCUACCCACACUGACAAAAACAUACUUUACAGUACUUGUUUUUUGUUUACAAUUAUAAGGAUUUUAAUAUUAAUCUACCUACAUAAGCUUUUAAAAUGAUUGUUUAAUGUUCCAUUGCAUGGAUCCAUCUUUCUUUAGCCAUUUCCCUGUUAAUAGGUAUUUUGUUUGUUUCGAGUUUUUGCUCUAAUAAAUAUUGCUACCACAAA